CUGACGAGUGGCGGACGGGUGAGUAAUGCUUGGGAAUCUGGCUUAUGGAGGGGGAUAACGACGGGAAACUGUCGCUAAUACCGCGUAUUAUCGGAAGAUGAAAGUGCGGGACUGAUAGGCCGCAUGCCAUAGGAUGAGCCCAAGUGGGAUUAGGUAGUUGGGGGGGUAAAGGCCUACCAAGCCUGCGAUCUCUAGCUGGUCUGAAAGGAUGACCAGCCACACUGGAACUGAAACACGGUCCAAACUCCUACGGGAGGCAGCAGGGGGGAAUAUUGCGCAAGGGGGGGAACCCUGACGCACCCUUGCCGCGUGAAUGAAAAAGGCCUUAGGGUUGUAAAGUUCUUUCGGUAUUGAGGAAGGUUGAUGUGUUAAUAGCACAUCAAAUUGACGUUAAAUACAAAAAAAGCACCGGCUAACUCCGUGCCAGCAGCCGCGGUAAUACGGAGGGUGCGAGCGUUAAUCGGAAUAACUGGGCGUAAAGGGCACGCAGGCGGUUAUUUAAGUGAGGUGUGAAAGCCCCGGGCUUAACCUGGGAAUUGCAUUUCAAACUGGGUAACUAGAGUACUUUAGGGAGGGGUAGAAUUCCACGUGUAGCGGU
rnacentral:rRNA from 1 species